rnacentral:lncRNA from 10 species
AGUGUAGUUGCUGGAAGUUUGAAGAGCCGAAACAGUAAAGCUUCCAUGCUUGUUUUGCUUUACGAAAAUGAAACCAGGAGGUGCUUGUUUAUGUAGAUCGGAAGAAUACAUUGAUCAUUUUGCACUUGGGGGUGAAAAGCACCUUUCCUGGACUGCGUGGCCGGAUCAAGCCAGCCCUAGUCUGUCUCCCGGCUCCAUUAUGUAAUAUGUGUUCUGGACUGUUAGACAAGAAACAACAAACGAUUUAAGAAACGAUUUAAGAAACACUUUAGAAACGAUUCAAAUCAUUAAUGAUGUGUGGGGCUUCGUUCUGGAAUAUAAGUCACGAAAGAAAGAUGGGAAAAGGAAACCGACGAUUUUUUUUUUCUUUUGAGAGAACUUCGCCCUUGUUGCCCAGGCUGGAGUGCAAUGGCGCGAUCUCCUCUCACCUCAACCUCCGCCUCCCGGGUUCAAGCGAUUCUUCUGCCUCAGCCUCCCAAGUAGCUGGGA